GUGMAUGGCGCRUGCUUANCUGCAGUCGAACGGUGAACACGGAGCUUGCUCCGUGGGAUCAGUGGCGAACGGGUGAGUAACACGUGAGCAACCUGCCCCUGACUCUGGGAUAAGCGCUGGAAACGGCGUCUAAUACUGGAUAUGUGACGUGACCGCAUGGUCUGCGUUUGGAAAGAUUUUUCGGUUGGGGAUGGGCUCGCGGCCUAUCAGCUUGUUGGUGAGGUAAUGGCUCACCAAGGCGUCGACGGGUAGCCGGCCUGAGAGGGUGACCGGCCACACUGGGACUGAGACACGGCCCAGACUCCUACGGGAGGCAGCAGUGGGGAAUAUUGCACAAUGGGCGAAAGCCUGAUGCAGCAACGCCGCGUGAGGGAUGACGGCCUUCGGGUUGUAAACCUCUUUUAGCAGGGAAGAAGCGAAAGUGACGGUACCUGCAGAAAAAGCGCCGGCUAACUACGUGCCAGCAGCCGCGGUAAUACGUAGGGCGCAAGCGUUAUCCGGAAUUAUUGGGCGUAAAGAGCUCGUAGGCGGUUUGUCGCGUCUGCUGUGAAAUCCCGAGGCUCAACCUCGGGCCUGCAGUGGGUACGGGCAGACUAGAGUGCGGUAGGGGAGAUUGGAAUUCCUGGUGUAGCGGUGGAAUGCGCAGAUAUCAGGAGGAACACCGAUGGCGAAGGCAGAUCUCUGGGCCGUAACUGACGCUGAGGAGCGAAAGGGUGGGGAGCAAACAGGCUUAGAUACCCUGGUAGUCCACCCCGUAAACGUUGGGAACUAGUUGUGGGGUCCAUUCCACGGAUUCCGUGACGCAGCUAACGCAUUAAGUUCCCCGCCUGGGGAGUACGGCCGCAAGGCUAAAACUCAAAGGAAUUGACGGGGACCCGCACAAGCGGCGGAACAUGCGGAUUAAUUCGAUGCAACGCGAAGAACCUUACCAAGGCUUGACAUAUACGAGAACGGGCCAGAAAUGGUCAACUCUUUGGACCUCGUAAACAGGUGGUGCAUGGUUGUCGUCAGCUCGUGUCGUGAGAUGUUGGGUAAGUCCCGCACCAGCGCACCCUCGUUCUUGUUGCCG
rnacentral:rRNA from 1 species